rnacentral:rRNA from 1 species
UACGGAGGGUGCAAGCGUUAUCCGGAUUUACUGGGUUUAAAGGGUGCGUAGGCGGGCCUUUAAGUCAGUGGUGAAAGCUCCGAGCUUAACUCGGAAACUGCCAUUGAUACUAUUGGUCUUGAAUUCGGUCGAGGUUGGCGGAAUGUGUCGUGUAGCGGUGAAAUGCUUAGAGAUGUGGAGGAAUACCGAUGGCGAAGGCAGCCUCCUGGGCCAACACUGACGCUCAUGCACGAAAGCGUGGGGAGCAAACAGG